CCCUCACAUCACGAGUGGCUCGGUUUUCCGGGCUCGGCAACCUGGGGCGAACACCCAAGGUGCCAACCCACCUUUGGUGGGGAUGCGGCUUCCACCUUCCGGUGUCGGCAACAACCAGUUCGAGGA
rnacentral:ncRNA from 1 species